rnacentral:rRNA from 1 species
UGCGGAAGGAUCAUUACCUAGAGUUUGUGGACUUCGGUCUGCUACCUCUUACCCAUGUCUUUUGAGUACCUUCGUUUCCUCGGCGGGUCCGCCCGCCGAUUGGACAACAUUCAAACCCUUUGCAGUUGCAAUCAGCGUCUGAAAAAACAUAAUAGUUACAACUUUCAACAACGGAUCUCUUGGUUCUGGCAUCGAUGAAGAACGCAGCGAAAUGCGAUAAGUAGUGUGAAUUGCAGAAUUCAGUGAAUCAUCGAAUCUUUGAACGCACAUUGCGCCCCUUGGUAUUCCAUGGGGCAUGCCUGUUCGAGCGUCAUUUGUACCUUCAAGCUCUGCUUGGUGUUGGGUGUUUUGUCUCGCCUCCGCGUGUAGACUCGCCUUAAAACAAUUGGCAGCCGGCGUAUUGAUUUCGGAGCGCAGUACAUCUCGCGCUUUGCACUCAUAACGACGACGUCCAAAAGUACAUUUUUACACUCUUGACCUCGGAUCAGGUAGGGAUACCCGCUGAACUUAAGCAUAUCAA